CAUAUAUAUAUAUAUACACAAUUGUGUGUGUGUGUGUGUAUGUAUAUAUAUAUAUAUACAUACACACACACACACACACACAAUUGUGUAUGUUUAUU